rnacentral:rRNA from 1 species
UGGGGGAUAUUGCACAAUGGGGGGAACCCUGAUGCAGCGACGCCGCGUGGGUGAAGGAGUGCUUCGGCAUGUAAAGCCCUAUCGGCAGGGAAGAAUAUGACGGUACCUGACUAAGAAGCCCCGGCUAACUACGUGCCAGCAGCCGCGGUAAUACGUAGGGGGCAAGCGUUAUCCGGAUUCACUGGGUGUAAAGGGAGCGUAGACGGCCAUGCAAGCCUGGAGUGAAAGCCCGGGGCCCAACCCCGGGACUGCUCUGGGAACUGCAUGGCUGGAGUGCGGGAGGGGCAGGCGGAAUUCCUGGUGUAGCGGUGAAAUGCGUAGAUAUCAGGAGGAACACCGGCGGCGAAGGCGGCCUGCUGGACCGCGACUGACGUUGAGGCUCGAAAGCGUGGGGAGCGAACAGGAUUAGAUACCC